rnacentral:rRNA from 1 species
GAUGAACGCUGGCGGCGUGCCUAAUACAUGCAAGUAGAACGCUGAAGGAAGGAGCUUGCUCUUUCCGGAUGAGUUGCGAACGGGUGAGUAACGCGUAGGUAACCUGCCUGGUAGCGGGGGAUAACUAUUGGAAACGAUAGCUAAUACCGCAUAACAGUAGAUGUUGCAUGACAUCUAUUUGAAAGGGGCAAUUGCUCCACUACCAGAUGGACCUGCGUUGUAUUAGCUAGUUGGUGAGGUAACGGCUCACCAAGGCGACGAUACAUAGCCGACCUGAGAGGGUGAUCGGCCACACUGGGACUGAGACACGGCCCAGACUCCUACGGGAGGCAGCAGUAGGGAAUCUUCGGCAAUGGACGGAAGUCUGACCGAGCAACGCCGCGUGAGUGAAGAAGGUUUUCGGAUCGUAAAGCUCUGUUGUAAGAGAAGAACGAGUGUGAGAGUGGAAAGUUCACACUGUGACG